GGGGUUGUGGCUUAGUGGUAGAGUGCUUGUAUACCACAUGUGAGGCACUGAGUUUGAUUCUCAGCACCACA
rnacentral:tRNA from 1 species